rnacentral:lncRNA from 1 species
CUGAAAAGUUACGAUCAAGAUGGAUAGGUCCUUUCAUUGUAAAAACUGUUUUUCCACACGGGGCAGUUGAAAUAGAAAAAUCUACAGGAUGGCCCAAUUUUUAAGGUAAAUGGAUAAAGAUUAAAACCUUUUCUUGAGAAUUUUGCAGAUGAAGAGGACUCCUUUUCCUUGGAGGAGCCUUCUUAUGACUGAGCUUGACGACAAAGGUAUGUGUAUAUUGGUUAGAAUUAUAUUUUUCUUUUAUUUCUAGUCUUCUUCUUAUUUUGUAGGUCUUCUUUUCUGGAUAUCAAUAGCUCAAGGUAUUACUCUUCUCUCCAAUAUUAUUUUCUCUAUUGUCUUUCAUAUAUCAUUUCUUGUAUCUUUUACAUUGAGGACAAUGCAAUGUUUAAGUUGGGGGGGAGGGAAAUAUCUUAAAAAAACGAAAAACAAAAAAAUAUUUUUGCAUUUGAUUUAUUCUAUUACUUUCUUUUCUGAGCAAAUGCACAUGUAUUUUCAUAUUGAGUUUGUGCAACUAUUAAGGCAAGGAACACAUGCAUACUAUGAUUGAUCAGAGACCUAUUAUUAGAUCCCCACACGUGUACUUAAUAAAAAUAGGAAAGCCUCAGGAGUUCACAUUUGUUAACUGCAUUUUUGUUAGCCUUAUCUGUAAAAGAAGUACGAGUAUCCUUGUUCGUACCACAAGGUUCAUGAUUUGGUUUUCACAUAAAGAUAGAGGUUGAAUAUCCCGGCUAGAUUACUUAAAUGCCUUAUGAUCCAACCUUGGUUGACCUAUAGUCACGAUGCAGUCAUGUAUAUAAUAAAAAUAUCUAUAUGGUUCAAUCUACCAUCUCUUUUCUUGCAUGAAUAAAAAAUAUAAAUAUAUAUAUAUAUAAAUUCUUAUGAUGACAAGUCUGGCCUCGUGGCGUAGUCUGGUUCGAGUAAUUAAGCCCGAGGGGUGUUUCACCUAAUGUCUUGAGCUAACUGGAUCGAGGGUCAUUGGCUGAAAGCUCGCUACAUGGACCUUACUAGAGCCUAAUGAGGUUAGACUAUUGUAAUCUUCAUGUGUGUUUAAAAAUAAAAAUAAGCAUGAAUAAGGUUGGUCGUACUGAACCUAGUGACGUGGUAAUGACUGGUUUGACUCCAUUAUGUUGGACCUCUGUGUACCCGAGUUAUUUAGUUGGGAUUGAUAGCUCUUUCUUUAUAUGCUAACCAUUCUUGAUAAAUUUAGACAACAUGUGAUAUUCUGAAAAUUUGAUGGAUCAGGUUCUAACAAAUUGUAGAAAAUACUUGUGAACUUGAGUAGUGCACCUAAAACUCAGGCGGUGCCCUGUUGUGGUGGAGGUAUUAGUACUCUGAGAAAGUCAUGCGAUUUGAUGCACACUACACUUUUAUAUUUCCUUGCUUUGACGGUUGCCAUACUUGAAAAUAUAUAUCAAUUAAUUACAUGUGUAUUAGCUUAAGAUUUAUUUCAUAUUUUUAUUAGAAUCUCAUGUCAUAUAAUUCAUGAUGUUUGUGGGUAACAUCCCUGAAAAUCCUCACGAGACAACACUCGUCCACUAGGGUAACCUAGGGGUUUAACGGCUUGUUGCACGUGCUGAGUGCAAUCGUAAUUCCUACAAAAGUGAGUGCUUAUCUUAAUUUUAUGCAAUUAGUUCUAAUAAAACAUCAAAGGAUCAACCAACACUUUUUGUACUCCCAUGUUAUUGUUUACUCUGAAUUGCUAGAGACUAGCAAUAAGCUAGUUGGGGGGUGUGAUGAGAGCACAAAAGUGCGAUCUACACAUCACUCAAAUUAGCAUUAUUGCUAACAAAUAAUGAUAACAGUGCUGCAUUAAUAUUAUAUUUUUGUCGGGUGCAGGUGAUCGUAAAUCAAAGUUAAAAUGUGCAUCGGGUUCAAAAAUAUGCAUCACUGCAGGUGACCAACCAACCAUAUGGGUCAACCCCAGUUGCAUACUAGAAGGAGGUUAAGUUCAACCUUUCAGGUUCACCGUAACCAAUUCCAAAUAGCCCGUGCAACCGUCUACGACUUCAUCCCAGCGUCCACGCUCCUCCCUUUCGAUCCAUCUGCCUCUUUAGCAUUGGAUUCCCCAACGACUUCAUCUCUGGGAACCUGCGAUCAGUUCUUUCUCCCGUGCGUCCACGAAGCCUCCCAACAUCCUGAAUCUCAGCUUCCGUCCGUUAGCUCCUUCCCGUGAUGC